rnacentral:rRNA from 1 species
AGAUGUUGGGUUAAGUCCCGCAACGAGCGCAACCCUUGAUCUUAGUUGCCAGCAUUUAGUUGGGCACUCUAAGGUGACUGCCGGUGACAAACCGGAGGAAGGUGGGGAUGACGUCAAAUCAUCAUGCCCCUUAUGACCUGGGCUACACACGUGCUACAAUGGGCAGAACAAAGGGCAGCGAAGCCGCGAGGCUAAGCCAAUCCCACAAAUCUGUUCUCAGUUCGGAUCGCAGUCUGCAACUCGACUGCGUGAAGCUGGAAUCGCUAGUAAUCGCGGAUCAGCAUGCCGCGGUGAAUACGUUCCCGGGCCUUGUACACACCGCCCGUCACACCACGAGAGUUUGUAAC